rnacentral:hammerhead_ribozyme from 1 species
GUAUUGCUGAAGAGUCCUGGACUAAAACGAAACAGCUGUCCAGUAC